rnacentral:rRNA from 1 species
UGCUUUAAGAUAUUAUUUAAAGUAAAACCUGCUCAAUGAUAUAUUUAAAUAGCCGCAGUAUUACUGUGCUAAGGUAGCAUAAUCAUUUGCUUUUUAAAUGAAAGAUAGAAUGAAAGGAUCAACGAUUAAUUACUUUUUUCUUGAACUUUAAAAACUUAAUAUUAAUGUAAAAAAUCAUUAAUAUAAAAGUAAGACGAUAAGACCCUGAUAAACUUAACAUUUUGUUGGGGCGACAUAAAAACAAAAUCUUAUUUAAUUACAACAAUAAAACUUUUAAAGAAAAUUUAAACAUAGUUACUACAGGGAUAACAGCGCAAUAUCUUUUUAGAGUUCAUAUCCAAAAAGAAGUUUACGACCUCGAUGUUGAAUUAAUUAACCUUACUAAAGCAAAAAUUUCAUAAGGUAGUCUGUUCGACUAUUAAAUAAUU